UGAACACUCUGGGUACCAAUACAUCUUAAUCCUUUAAGCCAUUGUUACCUUGGGACUUGAUGAUGUCUCACUCCCAAUUAGAGUGUGAAAAUGGAAAACACAAUUAAAAGCUAAGUGCUGUUGACUUUUAAAACAGCAUACUUUUUACUCCUUACAGAAGACAUCCAGAUCGAUGUAUCUCUCUUAUUAACUGUCUGCCUAUGUAAUAUAUUUAUAUGCAGGUGUAUGCCUGUUUAGGAAAAACGUAUGUAAUAAG